rnacentral:lncRNA from 1 species
AAGAGAGCCGAGCCCGAGAAGGCGAGCGCUGGCCGAACACAGCCGAAGAGGAGCCGAGCAGAGCCGAAGAUUCAUAGAGCCACCGGAAGGUGCUUCCGCUCCCGACAGGUUGUUCUGACCACUAGAGCCAUCUCCCCUCCAAGUCACUGUGCAAGUUUUGAUUUGCCCAUGAGGACACAGGACAGGGCAGUCAUCCUUGGGCCUUUGGCGUUCGGCUCGGAAUGAGAUUAAGCAUCAUUGUCCUCCUGACCUGAGAUAGAACUCAGCACACCUCAGUGAACCUUACCUUGACCUCCACAGGAAAAGAGGUCCAAGAGGAUCCUGGAGGAGCUGCUCCCAGCGUGAAUUAUGUGAAGCACAUGGAACUGAGCAGGACAAAGCGUGGACUGUAGUGGAUACUGUAAUGUGCUGAUCUGAUUACUUCCUUUCAGGACUGAAGCAUUCAUUCUUUCAGUUGCUGGGAAUAUUGGCAGCUGCAAGUUCUUAGCUGAGUUCCUUUGUGAGACUUGACUUCAGCUAAAAAGAGAUGCUUUGCUUAAGAUUACUCCAUGCCUCUUUACAGGGGUGGCCAUAGCUAAUGGCUGGCUGAUGCAAGGGUUUGAAGAUCUGGCCCUCUUGCCCCAAUUCAGGAUGACUGGAGGGCCAACUCAGCCCCAGAACUCCUCAUAGGAUCAGCUGAGGUCUUUGUUGUGACUGCAUCACGGUUCAACCUCUCCUUUUGACCAAUCCUGCUUUCUUUACUUCCUCAUAGGUGUUGAGAAUUCCCCAAUGAAUUUCCUGCAUGCAGAUCUCUUUCUCAGAGUCUGCUGCCCCGGGGAAUCUGAUUUGCAACAGCCAAGGAAUGCAUUUAUCAAUUAUUAAGCACAUUUAAACAUUACUACACACACGGUUAGUAUACAACAAUUGGAAAAUACAGAGUAGUAAAAAGAAGAAGAUAAAAAUUAGCUCUAGCCAAUUUUUGUGGGUAGCUUUUACUUUUAUUUAAAUGAUAUCAUAAUAUUGUAUUGCUCUUUCAUGUAAUGGUAUAAUUUGGAGAUUAGUGUGAGACACGUGCGUGGUGGUAAGCAAUUGAAAUUGAUUCUGGCUUUUUAAAAAGCAAAGUAAUUUGUCGAAAGCUAUUGCAUGGCUUACAGAAUUGCCAGGAAGACUGGAGAAUCAGGUUAUUAAAAAGAGCAGAAAGGAACCAAGGACCCGAGGGACCAAGACCGUAGGUAAGGCAACACCCCAGGAAGAGUGUGAGCCACUGUGUCCACCAGUGGAUGGUGGAUGCAUGCAUCUGUUCUUGCUACUUUGCAUCUCUUGUGUCAGAUUCAAAGCCCCAAAUGGAGAUGUCUGUCCAUAUUGCAGCUGCUAGGGU